rnacentral:lncRNA from 1 species
CGGUUUAACGAGUGAUGUGAAACAGCUGAUGUGGUUUUCUAUGAUCUGUUUAAUAAAAGUUUCAAGCAAAAGUUAUUUGUCGUGACGAGUUUUGCGAGACGCUGGCUAAAGCUACAGUACGUGCAGUUUCAAGCUGAAUAAUUUUUUCUAGGGGACUGAGAUACGGCCAUCCACUGGGGAAUCCACUUUAACAAACUAUCAUCAUUGUUUUCAGGCAAGUGAGGCGCUGCUGGACACUCUCACCGUGAAGUAGACAGCAUUGGAGAAAAUGCGCAAGUUGAUCAGGUCAGGAAUCGCCGCGAUUUCCGCGUCGGUUAGCUGACCAUGCUGCGCGAACCCGCUCACGAAGCGCUCGCACAGCGGCAGCGGAUCAUCCUCGCCGACAUACCUGGUAGAUAGUACAACACGUACGGCAGGCGCAUGUAAAAUUGUGCGGCAUUGCUUGGGCUAUUAAAAAAGCUUAAAACUGUAUUCCUGGUAUGGCGACGCAGGACAUUUACAACUUCCCGACAGGCCUUGAAGCCAUAUUAACCCUCCCCCCAGCCCCCCACAUCCACAUCACAUACUUGGAUAGAGCCACGGCCAGCUCCAUCGCCCGCCAGUCGUACGCACAAAAUUCAAAAUCCAGCAGUCCCGAAACGGUGUCGCCCACCACCAUCACAUUGUCGUAGUGCAGGUCACCGUGAAUAAGCUGCGGUUGGGGGUUAAGACGAACCGUUGACAGUUAAGGCAGAUAAUAGAGAUAGACGGAUAUAGUCCAGGAGAAGACGGUUGGGGGGUACUGUGUACGGCAGGGUUGAGGGAAGAACGUACCACGGGCGGAGCUUCAAAUUUACGGACAAUACGUGAAAAGGUUCAGAAGGAUUCUGUAAAGAACGAAUUGCGGUCGGGUUGUCGUGCUAAACACGGCAAUCCAGGGCCUCACGUAUCGCGACGUGGCGUGGCGUGGCCUUCCUGAAUCGGAGCAAACAAACAACGACCAGAUCCUUAGCGCGCCUGUGCCGACAAUUCCCCGCGGUUUAACGGUCUUCGCCUACCUGCAUAGGCAGAUCUUGCUGCAAGUAGGUUGCCAGCUUCUCCUCAAUCUUGCGAAUCUCCGAAACCAGAAAAUCAAUUGCCUGAUGAUGACGAGCAUUAGCAGCAGCAGCAGGUAAACUAAAACAGCAAAAGCAAAACGAAAGUAUGUCAACCACAAACGAAGCAAAAAAUAAAUCAGGGACACAACUUCGAGAAGGAAACGAUUACGGGACGAGAGAGCAAUCCUGAAAGACUUCUUGGAGUCUGGAAGGGACUGCGUGCGGAUGAAUCCAACAGCAAUGUCGUAUAUGGAAGGCCGUACAUGGCGUCGUGGGAGGCUCACCACCACCGAUAUCGACCACGUCUUCAUGACCCGCGCCCCGCGCCCUUGUGCACUCUCGUCCUCCGCAUACCUCCAAAUCCUGAGGACCAAGUAGCUGCGUCGCGUACCCUUCACCUUUGCACACCCGCGCUCAAUGCUGACCGCCAACCGUCCAACCAACCGUCCAUUAACUAAUUCAUAACCGUCUUACCUCCCGACAUGAGUUGAAGUCAGGGUUCGUGGCAACCUCCCGGUAAAACACCUCCGCGUCGCCUCCAAUGGCGUGAUGUACCUGGACGCAUGCAUGCAUGAUGGAUGGAUGGAUGGAUGCAUGAGCAGCAGGAAAGCAGCACUAGCCCAGCAGCAGAUCGUCCUCGUACAGACUUCUUCAACUUCUAUGUGCCGUACUGUACGUACUACACUCUCUAGGGGAAAACCCACAUCGUACGGCAAUGCGGACAGCUCGGAGAUCCCGUUCCAUCACACCCCCAACCCCUCAUGUCUGGAGGCAAGCACCGGAGCGCGUCAGAUUGCGCUGCGCUGCUUCUAGAUGGCUAGAUGGGAAAGGAAGGACAAUCAUCAUCACCACCAGCACAGCCGUCAUCACCACCACCAGCACCACCGUCACACCACACAAUGGAUACGACACACAAGAUCGUCCUUUUUGUCUACCGUACCUUGAACAGCUCAAAGUAUGGCGGGAUGGGCGCCUUCAUACCCUCAAUGCGGACCUUGCCCAUGGCCGAGCAGAGCUCUCCGGUGGCACGGCCGACCUGUACGACAAACCGGAUCCGAAACCAACAAGCGCGCCGUAGCGCAACAGAAAUUAAACAAAACCAAGAUUGAAACAGUAGCACCAGCAGCGACGGCGGCGAUGGUUGCACGCGCGAUCACCGCCGGGCUGCUCCGCUCUUCUCCGUCCUUCCUCGCUUAUCCCGCAUAAAAGCACAUGCAAAACACACAGUAGGGAAAACGGCCGCACGGACAGCUCAAACACAUCCGCGCGUUGCCAGUCCCAACCCCCAAGGAUGGCCUUAUGCCACUAUCCAACCCUACCCCAUUCCCCAUCCCUCACCUCCUCUCCCACUACCCACCCACCCCACCACAUUCCCCACUUCCCACUCCUCACCCCCACCCCACUCCCCAUCCCUCACCUCCUCCGGGCUUGUGGUCUUGGCCAGGGUACCCGGGAUGAUGUGGAAGAUGCAGGCCUCGGCUCCGUUG